rnacentral:misc_RNA from 1 species
UUUCCGUAGGUGAACCUGCGGAAGGAUCAUUAAUGAGUUGUCAUGGGGUUCGAUGCUGGCAGCCAGUUUUUGGAUGCAUGUGCUUGCCCUAACAAUUAUCUUCUUCCAAACACCUGUGCACAUUUUUGAGGGAGUCUUGAGUUGGUUGCCGCUCUUGGGUGAUUUUCUCACAUUCCCUUAAAUCAUUAUACGCUAUUAACAAUGUUGAACGUGCUCUGUGCCGCAAGGCCAUUAAUAUAAUACAACUUUUAACAACGGAUCUCUUGGCUCUCGCAUCGUGAAGAACGCAGC